rnacentral:lncRNA from 1 species
UCUCUCUCUCUCUCUCUCACACACACACACACACACACACACAGAGACACACACACGAGAUAAUAAAGAAAAAACCCCAUAGUGAUAGAUAUUGUUUUUGUUUAUUUCUUUCAGUAUUCUUUAGAAAAUUUCUGUUAAUGAAUUUUAAAGACUGUUGGCUUGUGCCUUGUCAAACUGCCAUCUAGGACGAGUAACUGCUGUGAUACACCUUCAGCCAUCAGUCUGCAGGAGUGCUCACUGUCCCACAGGUUUAGGUGGGCAGUCUCCUUCCUAGCUGUGUGUGAUAUCUGCCAUGUGGUUAAGUCCAAUUCAGUGAGCUGUGUUUUCAGGAUUUUUUUUUUUUUCUCUAGACAGGGUUUUUCUGUGUAGCCCUGGCUUUCCUGGAACUCACUCUGUAGACCAGGCUGGCCUGGAACUCAGAAAUCCACCUGCCUCUGCCUCCCAAGUGCUGGGAUUAAAGGCGUGCACCACUUACCGCCUGGCGUGUUUUCAAGUUUUUGCCUUUGUGCCCCCCUUGAUCGUAUGUUGUCUUUUCUCUGUGUUUAGGAUAGAACCCAAGCCUUUUCAUGCUAUGUAUGCAAGCACACUACUAUUGAAUUAUACACCACAUCCAUGUUUUCUUUUUGAAUGACUUUUUCUUCCUAAUUCUACUUUUCCUUUAGGCCUGCAACUCAGGAAAUGGAUAGAACUUUAUAACACCUUGCUGACACUGUGUUACUGAAAGUAUCCCUUUUAUAGGAAGUUUAUAGCUGAAAAACAUGAUGUGCUUCUAACAAAGUGUCAGUUCAUUUAGAAGUUGUUGAUUCCUUUGCAGUAGUAGUUCCUUGUUUCCCUUUCUUAGGCGCAGUGAAUCACAACCUUUAGAGAGAAAAAAAAUCCCUUAGUUCUGCGAUGAGGGUGGCAGGAGCAUUUCGGGCUGUAUUUUAUUUGGAAACAGCUACCUGCACCCAGGACUUCCCUUCCUUUCCUUUUCUUGUCUUUUCUCUUCUGCUCCCCUCUCCUUCCCUCCCUUUCUCUCUCCUCCGUAUCUGGUUCUCACAGAUCUCUUGGCCCCUGGGGUCUACACUGUCUGUGCUAACUAGCUUUCUCAUUCUGUUGUACAGUCUCAGCAUCCUCUGAGACAGCCUAAACCACCCCAUGAUUUUGGCCUGGCAUAUAAAUUAAACCCCCAGGUAUCAGUUACUGCUUAGAUACUUCUUUGGCUAUAAAGUUGACUGGGUUGUGAAGGACUUGUUCCUUGGUAUUCUCCCUAAUUAAUCCAUUUCAUUUGUAGUAUAAGAUUUUUCACAAAUGUGUGCAUCACAAGUGAGCAGAAGUUGGCUGCAUUCUUGUGUUUCUUUUCCCAAAGCAUAUUCUUAUUUUUACAAUUUUAGUUUCAGCUUCUACUAUGUUAUGCUUAUUUUUCAGAACUUGAUCCCUCCCUUUUUGUAUGUGUGGUAUUCAUAUGUCCUGGUUUGCUUCGUUCUCCUGUGAUAAAUGCAAUGACCAUUAAACUAGGGGAGAAAUGGUUUAUUUGCCUUAUGCAUUCUGAUCAGAGAAUUCCCUAUCAAAAGGAGAGCUUACCCAGGCUGUUAAUCUUGAUACCCAGCUUAUUCUGGAGAAUCCUGUCUCCCACUUUAGAAAGCUGGAAUCACUAUAUCGACUUGCCAUUUAUAUGGAUCUGGGUAUCUGAACUCUUGGCCUGAUGUAUGCGAAACACUUUAACCACUGAAUUAUCUUCCCUGCCCCUCUAUCUUUUUUAAGUUUUUGAGAUAGGGUCUUAUGUAUUCUAGGCUGGUCUUGAAUUUAAUAGGUUGCUAAAAGUAACCUUGAAGUCCUGAUACUCCUUCUGCCUCCCUAGGGCCCAAAGGCUGACAUUAUAAAGAUGUCCACCAUAUCUGAUCUAUGCAGUGGUAGGGAUUGAAGCCAGAGCUUUUUUUUUUUUUUUUUUAAAUUUUGAUUCUAUUUGUUUUUUUGUUUUUUGUUUGUUUAUAUUUGUUGUUAUUGUUGUUGUUUGGUGAGAUGGGGUUUCACUGGCUUUUCUGGAAUUCACUCUGUAGACCAGGCUGGCCUCAAACUUAGAGAUCUACCUGCUGUCUCGAAGUGCCGGGAUUAAAGGCAUUCACCACCACCUGGCUGAAUUCAGAGCUUUGUUAUGGUGGGCAAUUACUCUAUCAACUAAACAGAUUCCUUAUCACUGAAAUAUUAUUUCUUUAAACUUUUUAAAUGUUAUAUUUGUGUAUAUAGGUGGUGCACAUACGAAGGUGUGUCUGUGGAGGUCUGAGGACAAAUGACUGGGUUAGGUCAUCUAUCAUGUGGUCGUCUUUCCUUCUAUCUUGUGGGUUCUGGAGAUCAAACUCCCAAGUUGUCAGUCUUGCUGGAAGUGACUCUAGCCACUGAACCAUCUCUCUGGCUGCUAAUUUAUUUGAGUUUUGAGCUCCUUUUGUUUCAUACUUUAUGAAACCUUUCCUCUAUUUAUUUUAGUCCUCUCCCUUUCCUUCCGUUUUAUGGUAAAUUCUCCUAUUCUUUUAGCUUCUUUAUGCCUUAAUGUUAUGUGUAAGCUUAGGAAACUUAUUGGCAAUUUUUUUUUUUUUAAAGAGGAAAGAGUUUCUUUCAUCUUAUAUCUUACAGUAAGUACAUUAAGAAUGGUAGGACAGAGCCAGGCAGUGGUGGCGCACGCUUUUAAUCCCUGCACUUGGGAGGCAGAGGCAGAGGCAGAGGCAGGUGGAUUUAACUUGAACUUGGAGACAGGCACUGAAGGAGAGGUCAUGAAGGAAUAGAAUUACUAUCUUGUGCAGACUGAUUUCUUAUUCCAGCAGCUCAGUCAAGAAAACACUUAAUGAUCUUUUGCCUACCAGACCAUCUGAUGGAGACAUUUUCUCAACUGAAGUUUCCUUUUUUCAGUUUGACUCAUGUUAGAUUAUAUUUGAUAAAAAACAAAGAAUGAAAGGAAGGAAAGAGAGAGAAAAGACAGAUAGACAGACAGAUAGAUAAAUUUUCUCAAGGAACCAGCUCCUGGUUUUAUUCAUUCUUUGUAUAAUUCUUUUUGUUUCUAUUUGGUUAACUUCAGCCCUGAUUAUUUCCUGCAGUCUACUCCUCUUGGGUGUAUUUGCUUCUUUUUGUUCUAGAGCUUUCAGUUGUGGUGUUAAGCUGCUAGUGUAAGCUCUCUCUAGUUUCAUUUUGGAAGCACUCAGAGUUUUCAUCUUAGCACUGCUUCCAGUGUGUUUCUUAAGUUUGAAACUAACAGAUGUUAUGAACCAAAUGGAUUUAACCAAUAUCUAUAGAACAUUUCAAAC